UGGGGAAUUUUGGACAAUGGGGGCAACCCUGAUCCAGCCAUGCCGCGUGAGUGAAGAAGGCCUUCGGGUUGUAAAGCUCUUUCGGCCGGGAAGAAAUCGGCGACUCUAACAUAGUCGCUGGAUGACGGUACCGGACUAAGAAGCACCGGCUAACUACGUGCCAGCAGCCGCGGUAAUACGUAGGGUGCGAGCGUUAAUCGGAAUUACUGGGCGUAAAGCGUGCGCAGGCGGUUUUGUAAGACAGAUGUGAAAUCCCCGGGCUUAACCUGGGAACUGCGUUUGUGACUGCAAGGCUAGAGUACGGCAGAGGGGGGUGGAAUUCCACGUGUAGCAGUGAAAUGCGUAGAGAUGUGGAGGAACACCGAUGGCGAAGGCAGCCCCCUGGGCCUGUACUGACGCUCAUGCACGAAAGCGUGGGGAGCAAACAG
rnacentral:rRNA from 1 species